UGAAUUGCAGAAUUCCGUGAAUCAUCGAAUCUUUGAACGCAUCUUGCGCCUCUUGGUAUUCCGAGAGGUAUGCCUGUUUGAGUGUCAUUGAAUUCUCAACUUUGGCUGGGGAGUUUCUUUUCAAGUUGAAGUUUGGACUUUGGAGAGUGCCGGCUUUUGUCCUGUAAGCAGGCUCCUCUGAAACGCAUUAGCAAAAUAGCUGAUCGGGCUUGACCACGCUUUGCGAGCAUUGAUAAAAUCCAACAUCACAUGCCGCUCGUUGAAUGGGUCCUUUCACAUUUGUUUUGCCAAAUUCUUAAAGAAACUUUUUGAAACAUUUGACCUCAAAUCAGGUAG
rnacentral:rRNA from 1 species